CCUGGCGGCCGUAGCGCGGUGGUCCCACCUGACCCCAUGCCGAACUCAGAAGUGAAACGCCGUAGCGCCGAUGGUAGUGUGGGGUCUCCCCAUGCGAGAGUAGGGAACUGCCCGGC
rnacentral:rRNA from 1 species